AAGUGGCAGAGUUAGUGGCACGCGUCUACCAGAUACAGACGAGAGAGCUGGGAAGUGGUGCGUGCCGGCACUGGAACUCAUUACAGAUCAGACAAAUCCAAGCAGUGAGUGAGUUGGAGGACGAUUUCGCUCUUCGGAAGCAAGGAGGAGCCGAAAAUCAGAGUGAAAGAAGAGAGAGCAAACAAGAGGAGGCGAAUGCGAGGAAUAAAGAACUGAGGGUCUAGAAUCGCAAGAAGGGGAGAAAUAUCAGACGAGCAGUGAGAUUGAGAUCGAAAAGGAAGUGGCAUUUGAAGGUAGCCAUUGACCGGAGCUGGUUCUUACGCAUAGGUAUGAACUUCUGCAAACCCUAAAUGGUUGUUUAGUUAGGGUUCGAUGUGGCGAUUUAAGUUUAUUUAUCUUAAAUCUGUAAUCACAUAUAUCAAGUGUCCGUGAUAAAAUGCUCUAUCCUUAACUCAUUCGAUUAAAAUUUGUUGAAAAUCCUGUUGAUGAGCAUAUUGAGAUGCUUUUUUUUUUGUUCAUCAGAUUUAUUUUUCUCAGUAGGUUCAUGAAUGAUUUUGGCUCAUUAUGCAAGAUGAGUGUUUAUUUUUUCUCCACGAAUGCUUGGUGCACCACUUGUUUCAAAUAUUGACCCUCACAUUUAUACUGAGCUCAGCCGGUUUAUGAUCAGUAAAUAUACAUAAACGUAGUUCAAUCUGAUUACAUGGUAUUGGUAUGGCACGGACGAAUGCACUGAUGGUUUCCUUGUUCCUGUUCAACUCUUCUUUUAGAUUAGGGUAAAUUAAAUAAACCACCCUCUAGGUUGAUCCACUCUACAGAUAUACCUCCUGCAUUUUAAAAAUAUGUAGGUUUCCCUUAUGUUACAAAAAUUCCUAUGUUAACCCCCGGUUUUUGAAAAAUAGAAAAAUACCCUCUAGAAUUAUUUGAUAGUACCAUCACUUUCCUGUUUACAGUGUUUUGAUGAUAUAUCUUUAAGAAAUAUUUAACUCUUAAAACUUUAAUAUAUAAAACAGAAAUAUGAGCUGCUGCAACUCCCUGUAUGCUCCGGCUAUAUAUAUUUAAAUUUUUUUCCAUUAGAACUAUUUAUUUUCUAAUCAAGAUGACCUAUGCCAAUAAACAAUGUAAUGCUUGUCAGAAUUGUCUUCAUGAUUUUAAUCUUUUUUUUUUUUUUUUUAUGAGGGAUUUCCAGUUCAAAAAUUAUUAGAUUAAAGAGUUUAGAAUCAUAAGCAUUUUGGGAUUGUUUAUUUUCAACUUAUAAGCAAUUUUAAUUACCCUGCUUCAAUCUUUGUGUUUGGUUCCGUAAAAACCACGGUACGAAUUAGAUUCUUAAAUUGACUUUUUGAAUUUAAAAAUAAGCACAUCAAUUCUUAGUUAUUUUCUAUGUAUAUGAAAAUUUCUCUUAUUUACCUUCUUGAUAUCCACUUAAAAUUAGCAAUAUAUAGAUAUAAUAAUUUAAAUUAACAAAUAUUUGUAAUAUACAUGUGUUUUUAUUAAUUUUUUUAAAAUUUAAAAGUUGUUUAGGUUUUGUAAGAAGUAUUUUAUCCAAGUGCAUAAUUGCUUAGUUGUUAAAUAAUAAGUUAUUGACUUUAAUUAAUUUAAAGUACUAUAGUGUUUUAAGUGCAGCUCAUUCUAGAAAGCAACAAAUAAUGGAAUAUUGCCAUCUUUGAGAAAGUUGAAGUCCAGUAGUGCCACCACAUUUAUUCGAAUUUAACAAAUCAAAACACAAAUUCCAAUAACAAUUGCAUAAAUAUUCCCAUAAAACCAAAUGGCCUUCCUCCGCAAAAAAAUCCGCUAUAUCCUCUGUGCUCUUCUGCACCUUUUCCCUACUCUCCCACACAUCUAUGAAAACUUUAAGUGUUCCCUUCCAUCGUUUUUUGUUUCCUUUGCUGUCAGAGUCAGCUUCCUCUCUUCAUAAUUUGAUGGAAAGAACCAAACUAAGGUGUAGGCAUGAAAUAACCAAUGGGUGGAGGGUGGGGGAAGAAAUGGUGUGAGGAAUGAGGAAACCUGGAACAAAAAUUAUAUGGUUGCAACUUGAUGGAUUCAGAACUAACAUGCUCGAGUGGUGGAAUGAGAUUAAGGUGAAAGGAUAGGAGAGCUUCUGAUUAAUGAAGAAGCUAUGAUACUUGGAAAAGUAUAUUAAAGGUAUGGAUUAAGGAGGUUUCUAGAGAUAUUGGCAUGAAGAAAAAGGAUAUGCUUGAGAAGAUGUACUUUCUUUGGUAAAUUAGCCUUUAGGAAAUUGAUUAUGGGAAUAUGCUUGCCAUAGAGCCAUCUAUAAGAUCGCCAUCAAAGAGAGGUUUUCAAUUUUUUACUCGAAGGAUAUACUUGAUAAGGUAGUCAGCUCAAUUUGGGUUUAUGACACAAAUCUUCAUAUAUCGUGUCAUAACUUGAAGGUUAGACUAGAUACUGAAUGUAGAGUUGCCAUAAAGUCCCAUUACGAAUUUUGCAAGUUGUUGGUUAUGUCAUUUAGUUUUUUUUAAUGUUUUAAGCAUUUCUUGGGAGCAUUGCCCUGUGGCAUACAACAUUUAAUUGGCAAAAUUACUGUGAUCUCUAACCAUUCUAAGAGUAAGAAUGUUGAUCAUCUUGUCACAGAUUUUUGAAGUGUUCCUUUAGCUUCAUAUGUUCUUUCAAGAUCUAUGUGAUAAAUCUCCUGUCGUGAAGCAUUUGGAUAAGUUGUGUGAUAGUUCUUGUGAUUCUUCAGAAAUGCGUAUGGAAGUGUUGUUAGUAAAAGAUAGUCUUAUUGUGUUCCCCGACCAUGGAUUGUCUGGAGUUAAACAAGAGUAUCUUACCUUUUAACAAAGAACUUUUUAGCUGAGUUAACUACCUUCAUCCAUGUAGAUAUUACUUCCUAGGAAGCUUCUCUCAUCCUUGAGGUACUUGUCUUUCCAAAGAAAAUUGCAUGGUAGUCAUGAUCAGUGAGUCUAGUUCUCUGAUAAUGUCAAUAUGUUCCUAAUUGUUUUUUAAGUAUUUUGAACAAUGCUGGUUUUGUGUUCAAAGAGAUAGCUAGGGUUGUGGUUUGAGGACUUGUUUAGAUGCACUUUCAAACCAAUACAAGACAUUUGGGCUUAGGCUUUUGCUACCAUGAAAUUUACUUAUGGCAGUUAUGUUAUUUGGUCCACUGCUGAAACAUGCCUUUUAAAUUUUCUUUAUCGCUUUUGCACUAAUAGACCUAUUUAUUUCAUAGUUAUUUCCAAUGAUUCUUGUCAUUCUAAGCCAACCAUAUCAAUCACCAAACUAAAUUCCUGAUUUGCAUAGGGAGAUUAAAUAUAAGAUUGCAAUUAGUAAUGCAGGUUAUAGACUUGUUAAGUUGUGAAGUGUAGGGCCAAGAAGUUUAUUUUCUUUUAUUUAUUUUUGAAAGAAAGGGCCAAGGAGUUUAUUAUUAUUGCUGAUUAUGUCAUGAUCUACAUCAUGUGUAACACCCAAAAUAUUUUUUUUUAUAUAUUAUUUUUAUUUUUAUUUAUUUUUCUUUUUUUUGUGUUUGAAUUUUUUUGGAUUUAAUUUAAUUUAAUUUAAUUUAAUUUAAUGAAAAUAAAAAUAAUAAUAAUGAUAAAAUUGGGUAAAAAUAUUAUGUGGAUUUAAUUGAAAUUGAUUUUGGGAAAAAGGGGUGAAAAUUUGGAUUCUGGGAGUGUUUUUGAAAAGAAAAUCGGAAACUGGGGGU
rnacentral:lncRNA from 1 species